UUUCUCCGUUGUGACAAUGCAUGGUGUC
rnacentral:piRNA from 1 species